GGUCAAGCUUCUAAGGGCGUGGGGGGGAUGCCUAGGCGUCAUCAGAAAAGUGAGCGUGGAAGGCUGCGAAAUGCUUGGGGAAGCUGCCGAACGAGCGUCGAUCCCAAGGUACUCACGAAAACCCAGGGAACUGAAACAUCUCAGUACCUGGAGGAACAGAAAUCAACAGAGAUUCCCUCAGUAGUGGCGAGCGAACGGGGAAUAGCCUAAACCGCGUGGGAUACCACGCGGGGUUGUGGGACCACUCAUUGGAAUUCGUUCCGAUGGAGUAAGAAAAAUGAAGUUCAGUCAAAGUUGUCUGGAAAGUCAUGCCAUAGCGGGUGAAAGCCCCUUAGACGAAGCACUUCAUUCUCUCGAGUGGCACCCAAGUAAGAUCGGGCACGAGAAACCCGGUCCGAAUCCACGGGGACCCUCCCGUAAGGCUAAAUACUCGAUGACGACCGAUAGCGAACCCAGUAGAGCGAUCGAAAGGUGGGAAGAACCCCGAAAGGGGAGGACACUGAACCUGAAACCCCAUGCCUACAAGCGGUGGGAGGGCGUUAACGCCUGACCGCGUGCCUUUUGCAUAAUGAUCCAGCGAGUUAUGGUAAUCGGCCUGGUUAACCUCUUUAGGAGGGGAGCCCCAGGGAAACCGAGUUUGAAUAGAGCGACAUUGUCGAUUGCCAUAGACGCGAAACCAGGUGAUCUACCCAUGGGCAGGUUGAAGCGAUCUUAACCGAUCGUGGAGGACCGAACUCACCAGUGUUGAAAAACUGGGGGACGACCUGUGGGGAGGAGUGAAAGUCCAAUCAAACCUGGAGAUAGCUCGUUCUCUCCGAAAUAGCUUUAGGGCUAGCCUCGGACCACUACACUAUGGGGGUAGAGCUACGGAAUUUGGAUGGGGGGCUUCCCGCCUACCCACUAAAACCCAACUCCGAAUACCAUAGUGAUUAUUCCGGGAGACAGAACGUGGGGGAUAAGCUUCACGUUCAAGAGGGAAAGAACCCAGACCGCCGAUUAAGGCCCCCAAGACGAUACUCAGUGGUAAAGGAAGUGGGAUCGCUAAAACAGCCGGGAUGUUGGCUUAGAAGCAGCCAUCAUUUCAAAAGUGCGUAAUAGCUUACCGGUCGAGCCAUCCCGCGCCGAAAAUGACGGGGACUCAAGUAUCGCGCCGAAAUCGCGGAUUCGUAAGAAUGGUAGGAGAGCGUUGCCCUCGGCGUAGAAGCUGGACCGGAAGGACCAGUGGAGCGUGGGCAAGUGCGUAUGCUGGAACGAGUAACGAUAAGAUGGGUGGGAAGCCCAUCCGCCGAAAGCUCAAGGUUUCCUGGGGAAGGUCAAUCCGCCCAGGGUUAGUCGGGACCUAAGACGAGGCCGAAAGGCGUAGUCGAUGGACAGCAGGUUAAUAUUCCUGCACCCAAUAUAAAGGUUGAACUACAGAGGACGCCGUGCAAUGGGCGGUCGGGGUGCUAGAUGUCCCCGUGCCGCAAGGCCGACAGCAUUGUUCUGGAAGCCGCCCUGCCACAUGGCCACGAAAAGCCCUGUAGGGACGAUAUAUUGGCCCGUACCGUAAUCCGACACAGGUGAGCGAGGUGAGUAUCCAAAGGCGUUCGGGAGAACUCUCGUGAAGGAACUCGGCAAAUUGACCCCGUAACUUCGGGAUAAGGGGUGCUCACCGCAAGGUGAGCCGCAGAGAAUCGGCUCUAGCGACUGUUUAUCAAAAACACAGGACGCUGCGAAUUCGCAAGAAGAUGUAUAGCGUCUGACGCCUGCUCGGUGUCGGUAGGUUAAGGAAGCUGGUUAGCGAAAGCAAAGCUG
rnacentral:rRNA from 1 species